AGCAGCCGCGGUAAUUCCAGCUCCAAUAGCGUAUAUUAAAGUUGUUGCAGUUAAAAAGCUCGUAGUUGAACUUCGGGAUUUACCCAUUGGUCAGGCUUAAUUGUCUGUACUGGUGAGAUAAAUCUCUACCUUCUGAGGAACUUUCAUGCCAUUUAUUUGGUGUGAUUGGAAAUCAGGACUAUUACUUUGAAAAAUUAGAGUGUUUAAAGCAGGCUAACGUCUGAAUACAUUAGCAUGGAAUAAUGAAAUAGGACGGCUUGGUUCUAUUUCGUUGGUUUCUAGGAUCACCGUAAUGAUUAAUAGGGAUAGUUGGGGGCAUUAGUAUUCAAUUGUCAGAGGUGAAAUUCUUGGAUUUAUUGAAGACUAACUACUGCGAAAGCAUUUGCCAAGGAUGUUUUCAUU
rnacentral:rRNA from 1 species